GUGCCAGCAGCCGCGGUAAUACGGAGUGUGCAAGCGUUACUCGGAAUCACUGGGCAUAAAGGGCGCGUAGGCGGGUUUCCAAGUCGGUUGUGAAAUCCCUCAGCUCAACUGAGGAACUGCAUCCGAUACUGUUUGUCUUGAGGUCGGGAGGGGAGAGUGGAACUUCUGGUGAAGCGGUGAAAUGCGUAGAUAUCAGAAGGAACGCCGGUGGCGAAAGCGACUCUCUGGCCCGAAUCUGACGCUGAAGCGCGAAAGCUUGGGUAGCAAACGGGAUUAGAAACCCUGGUAGUCC
rnacentral:rRNA from 1 species